UGAAUACGAGACGCUAAGGCGUCGAAGUAGUGUAUGUCAUACUUCCAAGAAAAGCUUGCACUGUCAUAGAUAAAAAACGCCUGUACCAUAACCGACACAGGUGGGUAGGUAGAGUAUACUAAGGGGCGCGAGAUAACUCUCUCUAAGGAACUCGGCAAAAUAACUCCGUAACUUCGGGAGAAGGAGUGCCUUAUUAUUAAGGCUGCAAUAACAAGAUCCAAGCAACUGUUUAUCAAAAACACAGGUCUCCGCUAAGUCGUAAGACGAUGUAUGGGGGCUGACGCCUGCCCAGUGCCAGAAGGUUAAAGAAGUUGGUUAGCAUUUGCGAAGCUGAUAACUGAAGCCCUGGUGAACGGCGGCCGUAACAAUAACGGUCCUAAGGUAGCGAAAUUCCUUGUCGGGUAAGUUCCGACCCGCACGAAAGGCGUAAUGAUUUGGAUACUGUCUCGGAGAGGGGCUCGGUGAAAUAGACUUGUCUGUGAAGAUGCGGACUACCUGCACCAGGACAGAAAGACCCUAUGAAGCUUUACUGUAACUUGAAAUUGAAAUUGGACUUUAUUCGCGCAGCAUAGGUGGGAGGUUUGAUUAUAAUCUUGUGGGAUUAUUGGAGCCAUCAGUGAGAUACCACUCUUGUAAUGUUAGAUUUCUAACUUUGAAUCAUUAUCUGGUCAAAGAACAGUUUCAGGCGGGCAGUUUGACUGGGGCGGUCGCCUCCUAAACGGUAACGGAGGCGUACAAAGGUUUCCUCUGAACGGUUAGAAAUCGUAUCUAGAGUGUAAAGGCAUAAGGAAGCUUGACUGUGAGACCUACAAGUCGAGCAGGGACGAAAGUCGGUCUUAGUGAUCUGACGGUACUGAGUGGAAAGGCCGUCACUCAACGGAUAAAAGUUACUCUAGGAUAACAGGCUGAUCUCCCCCAAGAGUUCACAUCGACGGGGAGGUUUGGCACCUCGAUGUCGGCUCAUCGCAUCCUGGGGCGGUAGUACGUCCCAAGGGUUGGGCUGUUCGCCCAUGAAAGCGGUACGCGAGCUGGGUUCAGAACGUCGUGAGACAGUUCUGUCCAUAUCCGGUGUAGGCGUUAGAAUAUUGAGAGGAGCCUUCUCUAGUACGAGAGGACCGAGAAGGACAUACCUCUGGUGUACCAGUUAUCGUGCCAACGGUAAACGCUGGGUAGCUAUGUAUGGAGUGGAUAACCGCUGAAAGCAUCUAAGUGGGAAGCCCACCUCAAGAUAAG
rnacentral:rRNA from 1 species